UGCACUCGUGUCUUGAGAAGUAACUGU
rnacentral:piRNA from 1 species